rnacentral:rRNA from 1 species
GCCACUGACGCUCAUGCACGAAAGCGUGGGUAUCGAACAGGAUUAGAUACCCUGGUAGUCCACGCGGUAAACGAUGAUAACUAGUUAUCCGGUCUAAAUGAGGAUUGGGUGACCGAGCGAAAGCGUUAAGUUAUCCACCUGGGGAGUACGCCGGCAACGGUGAAACUCAAAGGAAUUGACGGGGGCCCGCACAAGCGGAGGAACAUGUGGUUUAAUUCGAUGAUACGCGAGGAACCUUACCCGGGCUCAAACGCAAGGCGCUACACCCUGAAAGGGGUGGUUCUUCGGACGUCUUGCGAGGUGCUGCAUGGUUGUCGUCAGCUCGUGCCGUGAGGUGUCGGCUUAAGUGCCAUAACGAGCGCAACCCCCAUCUUCAGUUGCCCCCGGGUUAUGCCGGGCACUCUGGAGAGACUGCCGGCGCAAGCUGUGAGGAAGGCGGGGAUGACGUCAAAUCAGCACGGCCCUUACGUCCGGGGCGACACACGUGUUACAAUGGCGGGGCUACAGCGGGGAGCCAGGCGGCGACGCCGAGCUGAUCCCGAAAACCCGUCUCAGUUCGGAUCGGAGUCUGCAACCCGACUCCGUGAAGCUGGAUUCGCUA